GAUGAACGCUGGCGGCGUGCCUAACACAUGCAAGUCGAGCGAUUUACUUCGGUAAAGAGCGGCGGACGGGUGAGUAACGCGUGGGUAACCUGCCCUGUACACACGGAUAACAUACCGAAAGGUAUGCUAAUACGAGAUAAUACAUUUUUAUCGCAUGGUAGAAGUAUCAAAGCUUUUGCGGUACAGGAUGGACCCGCGUCUGAUUAGCUAGUUGGUAAGGUAACGGCUUACCAAGGCAACGAUCAGUAGCCGACCUGAGAGGGUGAUCGGCCACAUUGGAACUGAGACACGGUCCAAACUCCUACGGGAGGCAGCAGUGGGGAAUAUUGCACAAUGGGCGAAAGCCUGAUGCAGCAACGCCGCGUGAGCGAUGAAGGCCUUCGGGUCGUAAAGCUCUGUCCUCAAGGAAGAUAAUGACGGUACUUGAGGAGGAAGCCCCGGCUAACUGCGUGCCAGCAGCCGCCGCCG
rnacentral:rRNA from 1 species